GAUGAACGCUGGCGGCGUGCCUAAUACAUGCAAGUCGAGCGAACAGACGAGGAGCUUGCUCCUCUGACGUUAGCGGCGGACGGGUGAGUAACACGUGGAUAACCUACCUAUAAGACUGGGAUAACUUCGGGAAACCGGAGCUAAUACCGGAUAAUAUAUUGAACCGCAUGGUUCAAUGGUGAAAGACGGUUUUGCUGUCACUUAUAGAUGGAUCCGCGCCGCAUUAGCUAGUUGGUAAGGUAACGGCUUACCAAGGCAACGAUGCGUAGCCGACCUGAGAGGGUGAUCGGUCACACUGGAACUGAGACACGGUCCAGACUCCUACGGGAGGCAGCAGUAGGGAAUCUUCCGCAAUGGGCGAAAGCCUGACGGAGCAACGCCGCGUGAGUGAUGAAGGUCUUCGGAUCGUAAAACUCUGUUAUUAGGGAAGAACAAAUGUGUAAGUAACUAUGCACGUCUUGACGGUACCUAAUCAGAAAGCCACGGCUAACUACGUG
rnacentral:rRNA from 1 species